CAGGUGGUACCAAAAAACACAAUCUUUAACUUUUGCUAAUGGAAAACCAAAAAAGAUCCACACAGAGACAGGGGGAGAGAAAUAAAGAUAUUGUUAGGACAAAGUCUUUACAAAUGAAAGUCUUCGAUCUGUAAAGACCUGUCCAAAUCCAGCCGUGCUGACCAUUUACCAUGGCACCAGACAUCUGAGAAGUAAUGCAUGAAAGCAUUUUGGUUUGGAUUAAGGUGAGACUUUAUGCUAGGGCUGGGCGAUUUUAAUCCAGUUUUAUUUUCAAUUACCAUUUUGGCUUCUAACAAUUGCUAGAGCACAAUGUUCUUCAUAUAUCUAGCCUCUUACUUUGGCCCUCAAAGUGCACCAGAGUGAUGCAUUUAAGUUUAAAGGAGAUGAGGCCAAUGACAAUCAGGACCGUGAAUAAACAGAGCAACGUUAAUUUUACAAUGUAGAUUGAGAUUAAGCUACGUGGGUUGAAUUUAGACAAAGUAGGUUUCUGUGUUUCGCUUCCUGCCCUUUUAUGUGCCACCUGCUAUCAUUGCUCUGCUGCAUUCAUGGUUUGCUGCUCCUGUCAAACUGUUUCACAAUCGUUGACAUUACGUGCAAACAAUUUGAGUCGACUGAAAAUGCUUCUUCUUCUGAGUUGUUGGAUUAUUGCAGGGAUUACAACAGAAGUACCACCAAUGAGGCACUAUCGGGUGAAAAACAGCUCAUUAUGUUUACCAGUUGUAACAUCACCACCAUAUCAACAAGAUACGUGGUCUUUUAACAAGAACGUUAUUGUUUUAGAUAAAAACAUCACACCCAAUUACAAAGACAAAGUGUAUUAUAAUCCAGGAAACCAGUCCUUGUGUAUCAAAAAGAUCACUGAGACUGACCGUGGCAUCUAUACAUUUACAUUCAUUCAUUUAAUUAAUUCUACAUUCCAAACAUCAACUGAGACCCACAGACUAAUUGUUGAAGAAACUGUUCCCAGGCCUGUCAUUAGGCUGUCACGACUGCACUCUAACCUGUCUGCUGAAUUCUGCAACAUCGCAGUCAACUGCUCCAUCCGGGAUGACUGGGUGCGUUCAGUCUGUGAUAAUAACUGCAUAACAUCUCAGAGAUCCUUAUUCUGGAAGUUCAACAUCAUCAUCCUCACCGACGGCAGAUCUGUUGUCUGCAUUGGCAGCAACCACGUCAGCACAACAAAUGUUUCUGUAAGCAUAGAGGCAAUGUGCUUUGGAAAAUCUAAUCAUCCACCCACUGUAAUAUUUAUAGUUAUUGUAGUGUGUGUAGCCCUCUGUGCCUUUGCUUUCUGUGUGGCUAUGGGGUUCUUUUCAACACAAUAUUGUCACAAUCAGACAUCUACUGCUCAGAUGAUACAAAGCCAGCCAGCGGAGGCACAGCCAAACUCUGUGCCGAGAGUCUCCACCUCUUCUUCCAGUCAAGCUGAGGCCUCUUAUGAAAACGUGGCUGCCCCACAGCCCUGCCAGACCAGCAGCCCAACAGUCAGCCCAAGAGAGGAGUCUGAGCAAAGUCAGAAAGUAGAUACCUUCUACAGCGUUUUACACACUCCAAAGGUGACUUCCUCUCAAGGCGAGAGUGGAGAUACGAAAGGACACACGGACAUACAAGAGGCACCGACUUCACAGUAUGUCACACUGGAUGAGACGGAGCACCCUGCGCAAAUUGACACGGUGUACAGUGUGUUGCAAAAGCCAAAGAAAAUCUGAAGUCACAGCACCACCAACAG
ensembl:lncRNA uncharacterized LOC115023582